ACGCAGCAGGUGCCACUCGUCCUGUUGGAUGGUCCUGGUCAGGUUCAGAGGGAUGUUCCUCAAUCUGAUUGGCUGGGAGAAGUGAUACUUAACAGCCGUGCAGCGAUCUGCAAUACCUGCAGAGAAGAGACAGGUGAGACAGACCCGACAUGCGGACACAGCCAGACACCUUCAAGAACUGUUGCCAACAGGAUGCCAGGAGGGACCUGGCGAUAUGAAGACCUGUUUGUGUUGGGAUCGACUGAUCUGAUCUGAGCUCAGGGUGAGAAAACACCUGAUGACAUCACGAUGAAGGUAAACCACAGACACGUCAGCAGUCAAGGCUGCUCAGCCAGCGUGUUAGCCGUUCCUGUCUGACAGCUCGCUAACAGCUUUAGUGACAGAGUGAGCGAGG